UGCAGAUCGGUCGUCUCGAGCACGGCGAGCGUCGCCUUCGUGCCGGCGGGCGCGCUCGCGCCGGACUGCGCGCCGGGCGAAUCGACGUCGUCGUUGCAGCCCGCGACGAGCGCCGCGCACGCGACGAGGGCGGCGGCAAGGCGCCGCCGGCGAAAACGCAAGGGGAAUGGCAUCGGGAUUUUUCCUGUUCUGUUUCCGUUGAGCCGGGGAUGGCGUGAGCGGCGCAUGCGCCGACGGCCUGACAUCCAGCGCGUGAGAGUAUCGAAAGGAAACGUGACCGAAGAAUGAAAGCGCGCGGAGGGCCCGCCGGAAGGCGCGCUGAAAGCAUAACGGAAGCUCGCGCGGCGCGCGCCGCGCCGGCCGGCCGGCCGGGCAAAACGAGACUUCGCGCGGCGAGGCGGUUCGCUACAAUGGCCGCUGUCACCGUUUCGCAAAAUCGCCCUUGAACUUCCAGACUCCCCCCGGCUUGUCGAUCGACGCCGGCAGCCAAGGCCGCACCGUGCGCCUCUGCGGCCAGUGGACGGCGCUCGCGCUCGCGCGCGACCGCGGCAACGUCGCGCGCCGGAUCGCCCGGCUCGCGAAGGAGGCGGUCGGCGAGUGGGACCUGUCGGGCGUCGAGCGGCUCGACCACGUCGGCGGGCAGGCGCUCUGGCGCGUGUGGGGCCGCAGGCUGCCCGACGGGAUCGCGCUCACCGACAACCAGCGGGUGGUGUUCAAACGCAUCGAACGGCUCGACGCGGGCCGCGAGUCGCCCGAGCCCGUCGUGCGGAUCGAUCCCGUCACGCGCUUCGGCCAGGGUCUCUUCACGUUCGGCGAGCACCUGUACGGCGGCAUCGCGCUGCUCGGCGGCCUGAUCGUCGACCUGCUGGCGGUGCUGCGCCGGCCGCGCACGAUGCCGUGGACCGAAAUCUCCGCGAACGUCUACGCGGCCGGCACGAAGGCGCUGCCGAUCACGGCGCUCGUCGCGUUCCUGAUCGGCAUCGUGCUGUCGUAUCUGUCCGCGCAGCAGUUGCAGCUGUUCGGCGCGAACCGCUACAUCGUCAACAUCCUCGGCCUGUCCGUGAUCCGCGAGCUCGGGCCGGUGCUGUCGGCGAUCCUCGUCGCGGGCCGCUCGGGCUCCGCGAUCACCGCGCAGAUCGGCGUGAUGCGCGUGACCGAGGAGCUCGACGCGAUGCGCGUGAUGGGCAUUCCGCACGGCCUGCGCAUCACGCUGCCGCGCGUGCUCGCGCUCGGCGUCGCGAUGCCGCUCCUCGUGAUGUGGACCAACGUGAUCGCGCUCACGGGCGGCGCGCUCGCCGCGAAGUUCGUGCUCGGCAUCGAUCUGAACUUCUUCGUGCGCUCGCUGCCGUCGGUCGUGCCGAUCGCGAACCUGUUCAUCGGGCUCGGCAAGGGCGUCGUGUUCGGGAUGCUGAUCGCG
rnacentral:rRNA from 1 species